CCCAUACAUUUUCAGCCUACUUUGAGAAAUCCAGCUUACUCCUCAUUACCACAGCAAAAGUGUGAAGUUGGAAGUUGGUCUCUCAGAACUGGGUUCCCUAUGUGUCAGUCCUCAGUUGUCUCACCCUACAAGGGAAAGGGAGGACAAAAGAAGUCUUCUCAGUAUCUUUAUUUUCCAUCUUCCAGUGGUUUAAGUCAAAGAAUUCCUUGGGAAUGAAAAUACCAUGUCCUUUUUUUCUCAACGUUGCUGAAAAAUUAUAAUUAGAGGUUUUCCUGUUGGGUGAAGGAAAGGAAUUCCAGUUGUCCUGCUUCUGUGAGACUUCUGUUUUCAAUGACUUUGUUUCCCUUUCUCAUUUCUCUUUCUCCAGGUAAUAGAAGGAAAGUUGGCUCCGUUCUUGGGAAAGGUCAUUAAGUUUGCCACCUCACACGUGUACAGCUGCAGUCUCUGUAGCCAGAAGGGCUUCAUCUGUGAAAUCUGUAACAAUGGAGAGAUCCUCUACCCUUUUGAGGACAUUUCAACAAGCAGGUGUGAAAUCUGUGGCGCCGUUUUCCACUCUGAAUGCAAAGAAAAGUCUGUCCCCUGCCCGAGGUGUGUUCGCCGAGAGCUGCAGAAGAAGCAGAAGUCUUUCUGGAGGAGGUUGAACAUGGAUGAGAGUCUGGAAGAGGCUUGUACCAUGUUUGAGCUGUCCUACCAGAACACUUGACUCAGAUGAAAUCCAGGACAGGGUUUGUCUUCUCAAUGAUGCAUCAGCCCACAGGGCUCCCUAACUAGCCAGUUAGAUCCCUUUGGAAGGAAGAGUAUAUCUCAUCUUUAGCUAGCUAUAGAUAUAUAUUUAUAUAUACACAUGCAUACGCAUACCUAUAUGUCCUGUACAUAUGCUCUGUAUAAAUUAUUGUCUAAAAGGCCCAUAGAGCCUCUAUGGCUCAAAAAAAAAAAAAGACUACCAAUAGUUGAAUUUUUACUUAGCCAUGAAUUUGAGCUGUUUGCACCCAAGCAAAAUGUGGUUUAUAUACAUUCUUUAUAGUUCAGAUAUAUAUAUAUAUAUUUCCCCCCUCACAGGAGCCAUUUUCUUACUUAGGACACAGGAUGAAUCAUAUCCUACAGAUUAGCAGUUCUUUGGUUUGUUUUUCGUGUUAUUUAUUCUUAGCCCUCACAGAGACAAGGUGAGUGAGGCAUGCACCCUAGGAAUCACUCCUGCAUCUUGCCAGAGCCCGUUUCUCUCUGGUCUCUCCCGUUUCUGCUGCAGAACAGUGGGUAGAGGCUGAGUCAAAUGGCUUGAAAAUCAAGAGUCCGAACCCCCCCCCCCCCGCAACAAUAAACAGAUACCCUUAUUUACAAGGAGAGCUAGUUUCGAUUUUGAAGAAUGGGUCUUCCCUAGAAGAGACCUCCGCCGCCAAGUACUGGUUGGUCUCUUUAACGGUACAAAUCGCAGUGGCUGCCUGAUGACACCACACUCCGCCAUAUUUGCCAGGUCAUAAACAAGGCUCCUUUAAGACCAGUUUUCCAGGGUGAUGUUUAUGACUGUUCUGAUGACAACUGGGAGUAAAUUUCCUAGAACUGCAGUGAAAUACACUGGUUUGUAGACUGGCAGACAAGUUUUGUGGUGUGUACAUUCCAAGAGAUGGUCUUCAACGUUCUUGGUUUUUGGUUUUUUUGGUUUUUUAACCGCCACAAAGGUUGUUCCUGCGCACUCAUUUUCAAUGUCUUAUUUUUCAUUGUUCCUCACUGCACUUUCAUUUUGACUUGUAAUUUGUUCAUCACUUCACUUCUACUUUUACUUUUUCAGCUGUUUGAGAAUAUCAGAGUGACUUGAAAUUUCAAAAUAUUAACUCUAGCCUAUUAAGAAAGCGUCAAACUUAUAAGUACAAUUAAUGGAUUAACUGUACUAUUAUUAAAUACACAUAUAUUCACUCAUAGGAUUACUACCUUCAAGUAAAACAAGAAGUGCUAAGAUAAUGCGGUAGGGAUAAGAUGUAUAAUAAAUUGCUUAGCCAUUUGGCAGGGUAGUAUCCGCUUUGCAUUGCCCUUUUACAAGAGCCAACAUAGCAAUCACCGACUGAAGUUGUAGGUAGGAUGGUACUAGAAAUCAAGAAUUCCAUGCCUUCUACCUUACCUCUUCCCAGAACAGAAAAACAUUCUUAUGUCAAAGCAAUUCUGAUUAGACUAUAUGAAAAGGUUCUGUUUGCUUCCAGUCAGCAGAUGCUUUCAAUGCCUGUAUGAUUCUAGCAUUUCACUGUUGCCAGAACCUGGUGAAUCACUGACUCACAACAUGGUACAUGGAACCCCCCUGCUCCUUUUUCCUGUCUCUCUUAUUCCCUCCAGAUCUCAACUUAUGGUACUUCCAUCCACAGAAAGAUGUGACAUUUUAGACUAACUUUUGGCCAGACUGUAAGCAUUAGACUUCUCAGACCAUGCCAGUUCCAUUGGCCCCAGACCACACAUUUUAGUGAAGUAGCUCAACUCAAAAACAAAAGCAAAAAAUAAACAAAUGGGACUAUGUCAAGUUCAAGAGCUCAGUACCCUGCAUGCAUUUAUUUUUCUGAUUACACAGUAGCUGUAACCAAGGCAUGAAAACUUGGUUAAAGGCCAGGGCCCUAUUCAGAAGACUUCUCACAGUGCCUUUUAUCCUUGGAAACCCAGGUUGAUUUCUGUACACUCACACACACACACACACACACACACACACACAGACUAGGGUGGAACAUUUCAAACAAGUACUUGGCAUAGAAGCAAAUAAAUUUGAUCAUCUCCUCUCUCCUUCUCCCCUUUAUGAAAUACAGUAUUUAUAUUUUCCAGCCUCAGAGAAGAUAGCAGAACAUGAUCUUUCACAAGAGAAUUAUAGACCUACUUAUUAUAAAACAGAUGUGCUCCUAUGGCAAAGUGCCUUUUCCUCCGCCCCCAGCUCCCUGUCACUGUAGCUUACCUUUCCUUUGCUGUAAUUAAUGUAUCUGUGAUUCCAGCUGUCGGCAAUGCAAUCCCCAGCACUAUGCUUGGGGACCUGGAAGGUGGGGCUGUCUCCUCCCCUGUUGGCAUGUUUGCUCUCAGCACAGAAUUUCCUGUCCCAGCUCUCAGACAUCCAGGGUCAGACUUGCAGAGAGUCAGUGUUUGGGAUCCCUGUCUACAGGGCUUUGUUUCCACGGGUAUCCGUUUAAAGGGCCUUGCUAAACAUCGGCAGUCCCUGCGAAUUCCUAAGGAAGAACUUUCCACCCACAUAGUUUUCUGCUUACUUUCAAAGGGGGGGGGGGGGGGGCGGGUAGAUGUGCUAUCAAUGUCAGCUGUCCAGAACUGGAACAGUAUCCCAGUGGCUUCUGUUUUCUCUCCUUUUUGUACAUCUCUGACAGCCGGGUCAGUCCAGUGGCAGGCCUACAUCAACACUCUAGGCCACCACCGCCCAAAUCUGAUAGGGCAGGGUGCAGCCAAAUUAGGAGCUGGGGCUGCCAUGAAAAUUCAGAAUUGCUAUUUUUCAGCCCAGAAUUCCUUAGAGCACAUGAACACCCUUACUGUUUUCAACCCUCACAGAUUACUUGGUGUGCUGUUUAGGUAAUUGUUUCACUGCCUAGAAACUGUCGAAACAAAAGUAGAUCUGUGGAUUACCACCUCCUUAAGACCUAGCUAAUACCUGCUUUCCCUCAUGUUCCGUUUUUCAUCCCAUAUUAAAUAUCUUGCACAUAAAGCACAUGAGAAAAAUGGUCAAUUAAAUCUCCUAGAGUUGGCAGGCAAGUCAAGGGAACCUCUUUUCAUUUGAAAGGCCCAUUCCCUGCUCUAUCACUUGAGGGAAUCCCUCCAGGCAGUGCCAGAAACUCUUAGGGGAGACAGCCCAACCCUGGUGAAAUGUUGGCAUCUAACCUGCAGUGAAGAAGCCAGUUCUUAAAAUAAACUUGUGUGUACCACUGCAGGAAGGCCACAAAGUACUUAAAAAGCAGUCAACUGGAAUGGGAGUCAUGUUCUUUCCAGGACUUUUUUUUUUUUUCUUCCCAACACAGAAAGCCUCUUUAUAAGAAAAAUCAUGCCCCCCCCCCUUUGUUUUACUGCCUUUACAGGGGUCUAUAUUACAGUCAUUUUCAGAUCUGUAGUACUAUAAGGUUCUCUCUCUCUCUCUCUCUCACACACACACACAUUUAGUGCUUGAUUCACAUUAAUCAAGCUCUCUAGAACAGAUCUCCCCCCAAAAAGGGAAUGUCACUAGCCAAUGUCCUAGAGGAUUUGUGGUUUCUUAGCACCAGAGAGGUGGUGGGAUAUGCUUCAGGCUCCUGCAGGCGGUCUAUGUCCUGAUUUCCUCCCGACCACAGUGAAAGCUGGUGUCCUGUCACUCAUGUUGCUCUGUGCAGUGAAUCCUCUUUGAUGGGGGUCUCACUUCUGUUUUCUGUGUGUGGACACACUGAAAAUUAACACUGGAUGGUCUCUUCCUGUGCCUCCUUGGAAGGUUUGGCUUCCAGACCUGUGUGUGUCCAGUCUCUACUCAUGGCCUGGCAAAUUCAUAGGCGAUUUUUCUGUGGUGUAGGAAGGUCAUGAUGCCACGAUAAGCACUUUCUGCACGAGAGACACUAUCUGAGGAAGUCGGGAUAUAUUCUGCUCCUAGUUUUAGGGUAAAGCCGACGCUGCGUUUCACAUUUUGUGCAGGAUUAUCCAUCUCCACCCAUCUGUUGCACUUCAGCAAGAUAACCUGCUUAUGCAAUUAGUCUUCACCCCCUGAUUCUAGUACUGCCUAGAGCCAACACAAAGGCUUUUUGUUUGUCUUACCGCUCCUAAAAAAAAAAAAAAAGAAAGAAAAGUGAGAUACAUAUAAAUUUCCACCUUCUUAUUUCUUGACUUUUUCUGGCUCACUGCAUUAUUUACUCUGAAAUAAUGUGGACUAGUAGUGAACUGAGGACAAGACUGAAAGAAGUGAGUCUCCCCACAUCUCCCCUUGCCCCAGCAUGAACUCAAUCACUGGAAGUUUUUCUUUCUUUGCUUUUUCUCAUAACCAGACAUUGGAGCUUCCUGCAUCAAGGACCCUGUACUGUUCUUCUAACCAAGCCUGGUAGAACUAAGUACUCUAGUUUGAAUCCAGUGAUGAUUGAAUAAGACCUGCUCAGUUUAUCUAAACAGAUAAGUCCUGGUUCGUAUUAUUAUAUUAUGGUGGUAUAGUGCUUCCACAGUACAGUCCCAGCCCCCCAGCAGUCUUCUUACUGGUAGACUAUUUUAAUUUCACUUUAGUGAGAAAAAAAAAAUAAAACAAACUCUGACUUGGGGAGUUUCUUUGGUGUGUUUAGUAUAAAAUUAGACUCCUGAAAACUAGAGGAAGUUAUGUUGCAAGCAGUAUUCAUAGACCGUGUGAGGAAAUGUAAUAGGCAAGACUAUGAACAAAAAUUCAAGUCUAUUAAUAUAUACAUAGUGAGAGCUGUGUUUAAUAAGAGAGACUCAGAAUCCAAGUUAUUGUUAAACUCUAGAGAAAGUCAGAGGUGUGCAAUAUUGUCCGAAGCAAGGGCUUGAUUCAAAAUCAGUUUCAGAAGUUCAUGUUAUGUGGCCGUUUUCCAACUAAAGUUACCUUCCAAGGGGAUGGAAGACAUUAUUAGACCCAAAUGAAGGAGUGGUUAGGGUGAAGUUUAGGUGGUGGGUGUGAUUUGAUUCCUUCCUAUGGAAAAAGAAGCCAUCUUGUUAGGAUGGACUGGAGUGAGACCAACUGUUGCCCUGCUAGAAGAGUCAGGCGCCUCCAGCAACUCUUAGCACAGUGAAGAUUCCCUGCCCACCAGCCUCUCUCCCCUUCCCCUGGUCAUCCCAGCCCCGGGACCUGAGGCCCAGCCCAAAUUCAGGUAUUAUGGCUAGGAAGCAACUGAUGGACAACUGGGGCCUAUGGCUCCUUCCUCCAUGCUGACCUUCCCGUUCAUUUGCUCUCCCCAUAGGAGUGCCUUAUAGGACAGUCUAGUGCUUCUAGUCUCUCUGGCCCACUUGAACCCUGCAGGACACAGGAUCACUUUGCUUCUUCCCUGUUAGCUACUCUUUAUACAGAAGCACUUAGAGCCUGCAUGGAAUUCCAUAGGCAUGUCAGACUGCUCACCUUUGUCUAACCUGGUGCCUUAACCUCUUGGGUGAAACGAUUCCGGUUGGAAACACACUGUUAAAAGUCGAAUGAUAGAGAUUCAGGCAGUAGCACAGCAGGUUAAGCGCAGGUGGUGCAAGUGCAAGGACCGGCGUAAGGAUCCCAGUUCGAGCCCCCCACUCCCCACCUGCAGGGGAGUCACUUCACAAGUGGUGAAGCAGGUCUGCAGGUAUCUAUCUUUCUCUCCCCCUGUCUGUCUUCCCCUCCUCUCUCCAUUUCUCUCUGUCCUAUCUAACAACAUCAAUAACAACAACAAUAAUAACUACAACAAUAAAGUAACAAGGGCAACAAAAGGGAAUAAAUAAAUAUUUUUUAAAAAGUCGAGUGAUAGAAACAUUGGCUUCGCAACUCCAUUGACACUUCUACAAGGAAAUACAAAAGAUACAACCACGUAAUGUUUUAACUUUUAGUUGUUUUUCUUCAAAGUGUGUGUGUGUGUGUGUGUGUGUGUGUGUGUGUGUGUGUGUGUUUGCUUGCUGCUUGCUUGCUUGCUUGCUUACUUUCAUCAGGCAAACUCAGGGGAAUGUUAUGAUGUUACCAAGGCCAGUGGGUAGAAAUUCAACCAGUCAUCCAGACUUGAAUCUGUAAGCAGUGAACUUAACCUUCUUUCAGGUCGAUAUAUAUCAUACAAACAUAAGGAUUUUUCUUUUCUUUUGUAUGAAGAUAUUCUCUUUUGACUUGUUCGUGACCUGUUUUCCAAAUGGGAAUUAGGGAGUCUCAUGGGUGAUUUGUAAUCAGACUGUGUCUAUGGCCUGGGCAGUCCUCUGAGCUGUUAUUUGGUCUCUCACUGCUGUAACCCAGGUUCUGACUUGGGUUCCAUGUCAGAAGCUGGUUGUGAAUAGCUAGCAGCCUACCAGAAACAACUUAAGAGGAAACGAAAGAAGGAGAAGGAGAAGGAGAAGGAGAAGAAGAAGAAGAAAAAAACAACCUUGAAAGAAGAGUAAAAGGAGGGAAAUUGUAGGCUGCUGGAGAAGAAUGUGGCCGUGGUAGCAUAGAACACUUCUAUACAAUGUGCCGUUCCGUUGCUAGGUCAGAAUCAUAUCUUUUUCUCCUUAGUUGUGCUCUUGUAAUAUAGAAUUGACUAGAAUUUCAGGUUUGGACUAUUAUGUCACUCUGUGUUGAGAUGUCUGUAAUAGCUAAUGUGCUAACCUAUACCUGUUAUUUCUGUUUACUGGAUUUUAUUGCCUUUUGUUUUGGGCAUGACUUUUUGUUGUUAUUGUUUACAUCAUUUAAAAAAUAUCAGUAACUGUCAUAAUGUAUUACAGUUGUUUUGUUGUACUGUUGACAAGACCCCUAGUUUUUAUGUUCAUUUCUUAUGUAAUUUAAGAGAACCAGUUCCUAAUGUAUAAAAUUACCCCCCUCCAAUAAACAGUGCAUAAAGUA